rnacentral:tRNA from 1 species
AGCCUGAUCGUUCAAUUGGUAGGACAGCAGACUUUGAAUCUGUUUAUCGAGGUUCGAAUUCUCGCUGGGCUGCCA